rnacentral:rRNA from 1 species
GAUGAACGCUGGCUACAGGCUUAACACAUGCAAGUCGAGGGGAAACGACGGGGAAGCUUGCUUCCCCGGGCGUCGACCGGCGCACGGGUGAGUAACGCGUAUCCAACCUGCCUCUGACUGAGGGAUAACCCGUCGAAAGUCGGCCUAAUACCUCAUGGCAUCGUCUGCGGGCAUCCAACGACGAUUAAAGAUUUCAUCGGUCAGAGAUGGGGAUGCGUCUGAUUAGCUUGUUGGCGGGGUAACGGCCCACCAAGGCGACGAUCAGUAGGGGUUCUGAGAGGAAGGUCCCCCACAUUGGAACUGAGACACGGUCCAAACUCCUACGGGAGGCAGCAGUGAGGAAUAUUGGUCAAUGGGCGAGAGCCUGAACCAGCCAAGUAGCGUGCAGGAUGACGGCCCUAUGGGUUGUAAACUGCUUCUAUGCGGGGAUAAAGUGAGGGACGUGUCCUUCAUUGCAGGUACCGCAUGAAUAAGGACCGGCUAAUUCCGUG